GUUUGCUUUCAACUUUUCGAAGGAGAAAGUAGACUGGAAAGUGGCGGAAGGGUGAGGAACACGUGGGCAACCUGCCCUCAAGUUCGGGACAACCAUUGGAAACGAUGGCUAAUACCGGAUGUGGAUUUCUGUCGCAUGGCAGAACAUCUAAAGAUGGGGAUUCUUCGGAACCUGUCGCUUGUGGAGGGGCCCGCGUCCCAUCAGUUUGUUGGUAAGGUAACGGCUUACCAAGGCUAUGACGGGUAGCUGGUCUGAGAGGAUGGUCAGCCACACUGGGACUGAGACACUGCCCAGACUCCUACGGGAGGCUGCAGUCGAGGAUCAUUCGCAAUGCGCGAAAGCGUGACGAUGCGACGCUGCGUGGAGGAUGAAGGCUUUCGGGUUGUAAACUCCUGUCAUGAGGGAAAAGUAACCAGGCGAUUAAUACUCGUUUGGAUCGAUGGUACCUCAAGAGGAAGCCACGGCUAACUCUGUGCCAGCAGCCGCGGUAAUACAAGGUGGCGAGCGUUGUUCGGAUUUACUGGGCGUAAAGGGUGCGUAGGUGGUAAUGUAUGUCGGAUGUGAAAUCCCAUGGCUCAACUGUGGAACUGCAUUCGAAACUGCAUAACUAGAGUGCAGGAGGGGGGAGCGGAAUUCUUGGUGUAGCGGUGAAAUGCGUUGAUAUCAAGAAGAACACCGGCGGCGAAGGCGGCUCUCUGGAAUGUUACUGACACUGAUGCACGAAAGCUAGGGGAGCAAACAGGAUUAGAUACCCUGGUAGUCCUAGCUGUAAACGUUGUGAACUUGGUGUUGGCGGUAUUGAUCCCGCCAGUGCCGGAGCUAACGCAUUAAGUUCACCGCCUGGGGAGUACGGUCGCAAGACUAAAACUCAAAGAAAUUGACGGGGGCCCGCACAAGCGGAGGAGCAUGUGGCUUAAUUCGAUGCAACGCGAAGAACCUUACCAGGGUUUGACAUGGCGACCCUUCGGGGGUGGGAGUGAAAGCUCCCUUUGCGAUCACAGGUGCUGCAUGGCUGUCGUCAGUUCGUGCCGUGAGGUGUUGGGUUAAGUCCCGCAACGAACGCAACCCUUGUGGUUAGUUGCCACUUCCGAUUAACGUCGGGAAGCACUCUAGCCAGACUGCCUGUACAAGCAGGAGGAAGGUGGGGAUGACGUCAAGUCAGUAUGGCCCUUACACCCUGGGCUGCACACGUGCUACAGUGGCCGGUCCAGAAGGAAGCAAUACCGCGAGGUGGAGCAAAUCCCCAAAGCCGGCCCCAGUUCGGAUUGGAGUCUGCAACUCGACUCCAUGAAGUUGGAUUCGCUAGUAACGGCGUAUCAGCUACGACGCCGUGAAUACGUUCCCGGGCCUUGUACACACCGCCCGUCACAUCAUGAAAGCCGUCUGCACCCGAAGUCGCUGAGCUAACCCGCAAGGGAGGCAGGUGCCGAAGGUGUGGGUGGUAAUUGGGAUGAAGUCGUAACAAGGUA
rnacentral:rRNA from 1 species